GAUGAGCGCUGGCGGCGUGCCUAAUACAUGCAAGUCGAGCGAACGGACGAGAAGCUUGCUUCUCUGAUGUUAGCGGCGGACGGGUAAGUAACACGUGGAUAACCUACCUAUAAGACUGGGAUAACUUCGGGAAACCGGAGCUAAUACCGGAUAAUAUUUUGAACCGCAUGGUUCAAAAGUGAAAGACGGUCUUGCUGUCACUUAUAGAUGGAUCCGCGCUGCAUUAGCUAGUUGGUAAGGUAACGGCUUACCAAGGCAACGAUGCAUAGCCGACCUGAGAGGGUGAUCGGCCACACUGGAACUGAGACACGGUCCAGACUCCUACGGGAGGCAGCAGUAGGGAAUCUUCCGCAAUGGGCGAAAGCCUGACGGAGCAACGCCGCGUGAGUGAUGAAGGUCUUCGGAUCGAAAAACUCUGUUAUUAGGGAAGAACAUAUGUGUAAGUAACUGUGCACAUCUUGACGGUACCUAAUCAGAAAGCCACGGCUAACUACGUG
rnacentral:rRNA from 1 species